rnacentral:rRNA from 1 species
UACGAAGGGGGCUAGCGUUGCUCGGAAUCACUGGGCGUAAAGGGUGCGUAGGCGGGUCUUUAAGUCAGGGGUGAAAUCCUGGAGCUCAACUCCAGAACUGCCUUUGAUACUGAAGAUCUUGAGUUCGGGAGAGGUGAGUGGAACUGCGAGUGUAGAGGUGAAAUUCGUAGAUAUUCGCAAGAACACCAGUGGCGAAGGCGGACUCACUGGCCCGGUACUGGACGCUGAGGCACGAAA